CAGAAUUAUUAAAAGGCCCAUUUGUCAAUUAAGCCCUGAGAUUGUCUCAAAGUUGUAUGGCAUAUUUCCAUUUAUGGUGUCUUCAAGCCUUAGUUUCUGCUUCAUUCCAAGCAGCAACUACACCAGACGUGGCUACAACCAUCAAUAAAUCUUCAACACAUGUUGCAGCAGAAACACCUCAGCAUUUGGUGGGGUUUGGAGAGCAGGGAAGCAUAUGUCAUAUGAAAAUAAAAAAAAAAAAUCAGAUCAGUUGAAACAAUACAAAAAUCCCAGUUGCAUCAAAUCAGAUAUACCAAAGGAUUUUAUUAUCCUUGUGCCUCGCACGAAAGAUCAAAGAAAAAUGCCCAGAAAUUAUUUUUGUUGCUGGCAAUGAUAUUAUAGGAUUUGACUUCCUUUGUAUACUUUUCAUUCCAACGAUUCAUAAUGAAUGGGCACAUAAAGAAUUUUCAAGAAUCAGGGCUGAUAUGGAGAAUGUUGGGAGUAAACAACAGAUAAAUUGAAAUGCCCAGACCUGCCAAACAAGUAAAUAAGUAUAACAGCAAAAUUUAUUGAUUGGGUCAUGUGAAAAAUCGAUAAUCAUCCAUAUUUUGACCUCUAUUGAGUUAUCAUCAAUCCAUUGAACCAUAAAAAUCAAUCUUGACUUUUCUUUUUCUUCAACAUUUUCAUGGAAAAUUACACAAUACCAAAGAGAUAAUAUAUAUCAAAGUUUUGUAUUUUGAUCAUAUUUUUAGUAGCUUACCUUAAUAAUGUUCUUGAUUUGAUCAUGCGUAUAUCCAAAAACUAACCACUUCCAUAUUGUAAGAACCAACCAAUUGUUGGUGUAGAUAUUUUCUUCGUCCAUUGCCCAUAUCCAUUCCCUCUGGAUAAUGUUAAUGGGUUUGCAGGAAUGGAGUACCCAUGUCAAGCUUUUCACAGAGUAGGUAA
rnacentral:lncRNA from 1 species